CCAGACUCCUACGGGAGGCAGCAGUGGGGAAUAUUGCACAAUGGGGGAAACCCUGAUGCAGCGACGCCGCGUGAGUGAAGAAGUAUUUCGGUAUGUAAAGCUCUAUCAGCAGGGAAGAAAUAGCGACCUUUGGGUCGCCAGACGGUACCUGAUUAAGAAGCCCCGGCUAACUACGUGCCAGCAGCCGCGGUAAUACGUAGGGGGCAAGCGUUAUCCGGAAUUACUGGGUGUAAAGGGAGCGUAGACGGUGAUGCAAGUCUGGAGUGAAAGGCGGGGGCCCAACCCCCGGACUGCUCUGGAAACUGUGUAACUUGAGUGCAGGAGAGGUAAGCGGAAUUCCUAGUGUAGCGGUGAAAUGCGUAGAUAUUCGGAGGAACACCGGUGGCGAAGGCGGCCAACUGGGCUUUAACUGACGCUGAGGCUCGAAAGUGUGGGGAGCAAACAGGAUUAGAUACCCGAGUAA
rnacentral:rRNA from 1 species